rnacentral:rRNA from 1 species
UACGUAGGGGGCUAGCGUUGUCCGGAAUCAUUGGGCGUAAAGAGCGUGUAGGCGGUCCGGUAAGUCCGCUGUGAAAGUCGGGGGCUCAACCCUCGAAUGCCGGUGGAUACUGUCGGGCUAGAGUGCGGAAGAGGCGAGUGGAAUUCCUGGUGUAGCGGUGAAAUGCGCAGAUAUCGGGAGGAACACCAAUUGCGAAGGCAGCUCGCUGGGACGUAACUGACGCUGAGACGCGAAAGCGUGGGGAGCAAACAGG